rnacentral:rRNA from 1 species
AGCAAUAUGUCAGCGGCAGACGGGUGAGUAACGCGUGGGAAUCUACCCAACCCUAUGGAAUAACGCAUGGAAACGUGUGCUAAUACAAUAUAAGCCACCCUUUAAAAUUCCAGGAAGAAUAAAAUGCCUUGGCAUUUUCUGGGGGGGAAAGAUUUAUCGGGGAGAGAUGAGCCCGCGUUGGAUUAGCUAGUUGGUGGGGUAAAGGCCUACCAAGGCGACGAUCCAUAGCGGGUCUGAGAGUAUGAUCAGCCACAUUGGGACUGAGACACGGCCCAAACUCCUACGGGAGGCAGCAGUGGGGAAUAUUGGACAAUGGGCGCAAGCCUGAUCCAGCCAUGCCGCGUGAGUGAUGAAGGCCCUAGGGUUGUAAAGCUCUUUCACCGGAGAAGAUAAUGACGGUAUCCGGAGAAGAAGCCCCGGCUAACUUCGUGCCAGCAGCCGCAGUAA